CCGUGUCCGUGCCCGUGUCCGUGCCCACGUCCCACCUCCUCCCGGGAACAGGGUCCGGGUGCCCGCCCUGCGGCCGGGCUGCCCCAUCCCUGUCCCCGAGGGCGGUGCCUCCUCGUCCCGAGAGGCUGUGGGUAAUGGGAGAGAGGCUGUUUUCCUCGGCGGAAGGACACGGAGGAGUUCUACAACAACCGUGAGCGGAUUUACAGCAUCCCUACCCCAGAAGAACAAAACUUCGAGGGAAAGGAAAUCAGUUAAAGAUAGUGUGACCAAGGAGCCCAUGGUACCUGUGCAGAGAGGGCAGGGAAUCACUAUAGAGGAAGGACCUGCUGGGCUGCCACACUGCCAAGGCCAAUUCUUUUAACUGGAUGUUGCAAAAAAUAAUUGAAGAACAGAAUAUAUUUUCGUGAUUGAAAGAUCUGGCUGAAGACUUGAGAUUAUUCCAACCAUGCACAGUGUGAACAGCUCAGAGACUCCCUGGCUAAAAAUAAUGACACAUCUGAGACCUGUGAAAGAACCUGAUCAGCCACGGCCUUGGCAGGGCUACGUGUUUUUGGACUAUUUUGACCCAUCAGAGUAUGAUCCAUUCUCCCAGAAGACGUGCACAGACUGCUGGAAGAAUGAAAGUCAUCAAUCACCACAAUGACAGCGAGAGCCAAUGAUGUCACCCGUCCCCCAGCUGACCAGAGCAGCAAGCACAGCCAUCAGAAGGUACCCUUUGUAAAAUAGGUUACAUCUCCUGCCAAAGCAAGUGAUAACAGGCCAGGUCUUCUGGCAAGCUGCAAUAAACUUACUGUCUUGAACUUGGUUCUGAAGUGUUGUUACUCAGCAGCCAAAGAAAUGUCUGGGAUGCUGCUCCUGUUGUUGCCAGCUCCAGUUCAUGCUCUACAAGCCCAAAUCUGCUGUUUUAGGAGAUUUAACUUAGGCUCAGCUCAACAAAAACAGUGCUGGUGUUCUCUCCUGAACACAGUGCACAAGCAGUAAAUCAAACUUUUUAACAUACAUAUUAGGUGUUCUGAGAAAGCAGGAAAUAAGUAGGGGAGAGGAGAUGGGAAGUGCUUUUCAGAGAGUCUGUGCUGAGCAGCAGCUGAGCCAGUGCCCCAGUCUCUCUCCCGUUCCAGUGUGUCCCAUCUCCCCCCUGGUCUGGCUGCACAGCAACUCUGGUCUCAAAGCCUGGAAACAGAAUUUCCUCUAUUCUCCAAACUCUCACUGUACAGACACAAUCUCUCAAGAGUUGCCAAGACUGAGUUUUAUUUAGGAUUAGGAAUACUGAACCACAGAAAACUGUUAAAAGUAACAGAGGUUGACUCAGUAAGGAGGGUGCACAGAUGGUGACUGCAUGGGAAACUGCCAGACUUCAGGAGGAAUUGCUGCACCCGUGGAAAGGGCUGCUCAGAACGGCACACUGUGCUUCGCAACAAGGCAGUUUAAGGAGGCAGUAAAAUGGUUACAAUGUAUCAAACAUUUUAUAAACAAACUUUUUUUUUUAACCAUCCCUGAUUUGGUGCCAAGAGAAAGCUUUUGCUUUCAACCAGCUCUUUUUAACAGGUUUGUGUUGGGGUGUAGUUCCCCCCAAGCAAACCUCUUAAACUUGUAAUAAACUUUUCUUGAACGAA